rnacentral:rRNA from 1 species
GACGAACGCUGGCGGCGUGCUUAACACAUGCAAGUCGAACGGAAAGACCCUGCUUUUGUGGGGUGCUCGAGUGGCGAACGGGUGAGUAACACGUGAGUAACCUGCCCUUGACUUUGGGAUAACUUCAGGAAACUGGGGCUAAUACCGGAUAGGAGCUCCUGCUGCAUGGUGGGGGUUGGAAAGUUUCGGCGGUUGGGGAUGGACUCGCGGCUUAUCAGCUUGUUGGUGGGGUAGUGGCUUACCAAGGCUUUGACGGGUAGCCGGCCUGAGAGGGUGACCGGCCACAUUGGGACUGAGAUACGGCCCAGACUCCUACGGGAGGCAGCAGUGGGGAAUAUUGCACAAUGGGCGGAAGCCUGAUGCAGCAACGCCGCGUGCGGGAUGACGACCUUCGGGUUGUAAACCGCUUUCGACUGUGACGAAGCGUGAGUGACGGUAAUGGGUAAAGAAGCACCGGCUAACUACGUG